AGAAGAGCAAGGAAUGGGCAGUCGUUUGAGAUUUGGGUCUGGGCUUAUACAGCCUUGGCUUAAGCUAAAUCCAUGCUGCCUACCAUUUUUUUCUAUGUGGAUGGUUUAGAUCACUUUCUUCCCAAAAGACAUGUGAGUUACUGGCGCUUGGGGCAAAUCAGGUGUCAUAUGCCAUAGGCAUUUCUUCCAAAUAAUUGAUUUUCCUUAGCCCAAAGGAGGUAUGACGGUGAUGCCUUUCUUUUGAAGAACUAAAAGUGCUUCACUAUGUUCUCUUGAUUUCAAUACCCAAUUUUCCAUACUGACAGAUGGAAGAACUGGGACCCAGGGAGGUUGCCUCGCUCAAAUCAUUGGUGAUAGCUUCAGUUUCUCUGGUGCUCAUUCAUCAAGCUGUGCCAUAGGCAUGCCACACUCUCCUUCAUUCAAAUGGCAGCUGUACUGCAUCUUCCUUUCCUUUUCAUCUUUGCAUCUUUAUUUACUCCAAUAAAUUCCCUAAUUAAUCCCACGCCUUCUCCCCAGUGCCAGCAAACUCUCAACCUACACACCCUCUUAGAGUACUCUUAAACACUAUUUAUUUAUACCCAUCACCAUUUAUUGUGACUCUGCUGUAUUUAUAGGCAUUUGUAUUGAUUUAUACAUGUCUCUGUUGAUUGUGAGUUGGGCCAGUUCCUUCUAGUGAAUACAAUCACGUUGGAAGUAGAUAGGUGGUUAUAUAUAGUCUAUGCCCCAAAUGUUGAAGACAGGUCAAGCUCUGCGGAUGAAAUUGAAAAUUAGAUGGCAGCAAAAUUAGAAUUAGCUCCCUUGACAUUUGGACUGUGCAUCAGACUGACCAUCAAUCAGCAUCCCUGAUGCUCUUUGACGGAGGGAGAGAUGCAAAGGGCUGGUCAUCAACUGACCACAAUCCUGGUGUGUGUACGUCCUUUGCAUGAUAGUAGUGGGGCUGUCCAUGGAGUUAUGAAGUGGCAUUAAACCCCCCUUUCAUGCCCAAAGUUCCUCUUAUCCUUAAAAACAAUCUAUUGACUCAUUGAUACUUCACUCUAUAUAUACUGGAAGAAAUGACAUUCUCGGAAGAAUGCAAUUGCUUUCCCAGAGUCUGAAGCCAGAUUCAUGGGGACACCAGAGCCAGGCAGUCAGGACAGGUAGUGAAUAAAACCCAGACUCUGGAGCCAGACUGCCCAAGAUUGAAUUCUGGCCCCACCAUUUACAAGACACGCAAUCCUGGGUAAGUUGGGUAACCUCUAGGUCUCUGUUUCCUCCUGUAUAACAUGGAGGAAAUAAUAAAACCUACCUCAUGGGGUUGUUUUGGGAACUCGGUGAGUUAACUCAUAGAGCUGUAUGUAUGUUCGCUCCCCUUCUGUCUAAUGGUAGCCGUGAACGAAUGGGGAGUGGGGAGAUGGUGUGUUACAAAGGUGGGAACUUCCUUUUAUACUAAUGCCUUCCUCAAUGGACAAGAAAUACUAUACUUUCUCUCUUAUGGUGAUACAUGUUAAAGAUGCUUUGGGGAAGAAUGCUAUCUGGCUACAGCCACUUUUCAGAACUCCUGGAGUUUCUACGGCUGUAAUAUAUGCAUCAUGAGAGUUCUUCCAGGGCUCUCCAGAGAAGCACUUAGGGCAAUACCAGGCUUUCUUCUGGAAGGAGGACUCUUAAAAGCCAGUGAUUCCAACCUUUAGAACUCAAUCCCACCUCAGCCUUCCCAAAGAAGUCAUUGACAGAGUGGACCAGACACGUGGUGGGUUCUCUUGGAUCUGUGUUAGGGCUCUGUAGCUUAGUCACCAUUUCCCUACACAAAUGCAUGAUAUGAGCUCUCUUCUUUCCUGAAACUCCAUCCCCUCCCAGCAUAGCCAAGGACAAAGUGUUCUUCAUGUGCAUUUUUACAGUCUUUAGAACUAAAUGGCAAUUUAUAGAAAGGUUGCUUGUGAUACAGUCAACUCCCAGCAGUGCCCAAUGGUCAAUCACACACUGUCCAGGGCUGAAGAGGUAAGAGAACGCAGUGUCUCCAAGACUCCUUCUGGGAGAGGCAGGAGGAGGUGAUUUCUUCCUGUACCUCAGCAGGAUCCCAUGGAUUGCCUCCCUCAGUGUGUCUGCAAUGGAUUGUCCGCUGAUAUUUUGGUUUAGCAUGCACUUUCCACCUCUGACUCCAAGAGGAAAAAAGAAGUCUAGGCAGCCACGUGGCAUCCUGGCGCUUCAGUGUGGAGGCCAGAAGAGGAGAGGAAUCCUCACCCAACAGUCAGGACAGAUCAUCGAGAGAGAAGGAAUCUACAUUGCCUCGCCAGAUGCAACACUAGAAGUGAACACAGGCUUGGAAGUUCGCAAUGUGCUUGAGAAAUGCUAGGGUGACUUAACUGGCUGCAGGCAAGGGAGCAAAGUGACCCACGGGGCCAAUCACCAACACAGGAUUCACCAAGUAUUGAAUGACCAUUCUUGGUCAUCGCUAUUCAGAGAGGCAGAAGCAAUUUUUACUGGAAAGCCCACAAGCAUGACUUUUCCAUCCCUCCAGUUUGCAAGUUCGUGCAGAUGAUAGGAGAAAAAAAUAGCCCAGCACAUUUGCAUUUAAGUCUUGAAAUCUAAAUAUUUCUGUGAGUCAUUCAUUAUUCCCGUAUAACUCAGUGUUUGCAUGCAAAUAACUUUAAUGACAUAAAUGCUUAUAAAAUAAGUCUCUUACCAUAUGAACGCGGUAAAGAAUGCUAAUUCCCAGAGUCAUGAAUGGCUUAGAGAAAUCAAUCACCUUCUCCCGUUCAGCUGUAAUGGUGAGGCCUGCCACAGCCAGAUCUGCUUUCUGAAAGGAACAGAGACAGCCUCUGUCAGUGGGGUGGCCACAGGAGACGAGGGACAGAGACUUGCGACCAGCAACCGUCACUGCUAUUGGAGAUGUGAUGCUGUUCUGGCUUCUUGCUUGAGGAGUGGCUUGAGGAAGCAGAGACUACGAAAUUGAGCAAGUGGCCCAACAUCACAAAGCUCAUCCCAGCUGGCUAGGAUUCAGGCCUCCUGGAUCACUGGCCACUUAUGUCGCUGUCCAGGUGAAACUUCAGAUGUCAUUAGCAGACCCAAAGAAGAGUCUCUGGUCCCUUUAAUGCACAACAACCAGCAUUUGUUCAAUAGAGGCUUCCUUCCUUUCCCCUUGCCUCCAAAUUGUACCUCAAGUGCCCACAUCUGAUGAGAGUUAGCCCUGAAUUAAAGCCUUCUGGG